rnacentral:misc_RNA from 1 species
AACAAGCUCUGCAAUAGCCUUCCAGUAAUUCUUCUCCACUUCAGCAUGAAACUUUGCUUGACUGGCAAGAAACAGCUUCUCUUUUUCUCUAUUAAUCGCCUUGUUUGAUUCACAGUUGAUUUUUCUCCUCCGGUGGAAUUCAAUUUUGUACUCAUCGGCUUCAUUCCUUAUCUGGUUGACCAACUCUCUUUCCCGCUUUUCCUUUUCUUCGAGUUCUAUAGCAUUUUGACGUCUCCAUUCUCGCAGUAUGAACCCCUCUUCGGGCCCCAUCUCCACCGGGGGUGGCAGGAUCGGGCCGUCCGUGACAAAAACCCCAUUCCCGUUGGAUACCGGCGAGAAUGACGAGAAUCCAAUCGGAUCCGGCGAGAAACCGCCGGCACUGGUGUAGAUCGGCG